rnacentral:rRNA from 1 species
GACGAACGCUGGCGGCGUGCUUAACACAUGCAAGUCGAACGGAAAGGCCCUGCUUUUGUGGGGUGCUCGAGUGGCGAACGGGUGAGUAACACGUGAGUAACCUGCCCUUGACUUUGGGAUAACUUCAGGAAACUGGGGCUAAUACCGGAUAGGAGCUCCUGCUGCAUGGUGGGGGUUGGAAAGUUUCGGCGGUUGGGGAUGGACUCGCGGCUUAUCAGCUUGUUGGUUGGGUAGUGGCUUACCAAGGCUUUGACGGGUAGCCGGCCUGAGCGGGUGACCGGCCACAUUGGGACUGAGAUACGGCACAGACUACUACGGGAGGCAGCAGUGGGGAAUAUUGCACAAUGGGCGGAAGCCUGAUGCAGCAACGCCGCGUGCGGGAUGACGGCCUUCGGGUUGUAAACCGCUUUCGCCUGUGACGAAGCGUGAGUGACGGUAAUGGGUAAAGAAGCACCGGCUAACUACGUG